rnacentral:rRNA from 1 species
UACAGAGGUCUCAAGCGUUAAUCGGAGUCACUGGGCUUAAAGGGUGCGUAGGCGGCGCCGCAAGUGUCUUGUGAAAUCCCACGGCUCAACCGUGGAAUGGCUCGAUAGACUGCGGCGCUUGAGGUUGGUAGGGGUCGCUGGAACUCUAGGUGGAGCGGUGAAAUGCGUAGAUAUCUAGAGGAACGCCAAAGGUGAAGACAGGCGACUGGGCCAAUUCUGACGCUGAGGCACGAAAGCGUGGGUAGCGAAC